AAGCUCCAGACCCUACAAUGUCUUCUACCCGACUAGGAAAACCCUAGAGGAGACCGCUUAGAGGUGCUGCUGGGAUGGGUGCUGGUUCUAAAUGCUGAAUGCUGUCAGUGUGACUUCAAAGAACUGCAUCUUUGGAUCCUUCCCCAUAGUCUGUCACUCAGCUGUUCCUUUUUGUUUUGUUGUUCUAACCCAUUUGGCGCCUUCCCUCGGUUCCCACCAUUUGGCCCCUAGGAUUGCUGACCCAGUUUAGGAUGUUUAUUUUUACUCUGACUUUGAUUUAUUUCAUUCAGGGACUUGACUUUCAGAAUUUACCUGUCUGUACAUUGCACCACAACUCCCAGCAGCAGACACUCAUUCCUCUGCCCCACCCAACCCACAGUCUGGGUGUACACCUUUGUCAGCCUCGUCUGACUCAACAAGGCUAUUGGAGAGAUGAUUCUAGAAUCUACAAUCCCUGGGAAAACUGCUGUCCCCUCAGGGCUCUGGACAGUUCUUGCAAAGCACUGGCAUAAGAAACUACUUCCAGUAGCUCGAACAUUCGCUUCCAUUGAGACCUUUGUGUUCUCUGCUUGACUGGACAGAAGAGCUCCACAGAAUGAACAACAGGGAAUAAAAUGAGACUUAAGAAAAGUACUUGAAUGUUGAGCCCUGUUGGACACACACCUUGAACAGAGCAGAAGCUAUCUACAGCAGACUGCAGGAUGAAUGGACCCAACCCCUGCAGCCCGCCUUGGUAUGUAUGUGGCACAGGGCCUGGUAUGCAAUCACUCACCUGCUCCACCUUCUUCUCCAAGGAGAUGGGGUUAUUAAGAUGCUUUAUCACUUCCUUG